rnacentral:rRNA from 1 species
GACGAACGCUGGCGGCGUGCUUAACACAUGCAAGUCGAACGGAAAGGCCCUGCUUUUGUGGGGUGCUCGAGUGGCGAACGGGUGAGUAACACGUGAGUAACCUGCCCUUGACUUUGGGAUAACUUCAGGAAACUGGGGCUAAUACCGGAUAGGAGCUCCUGCUGCAUGGUGGGGGUUGGAAAGUUUCGGCGGUUGGGGAUGGACUUGCGGCUUAUCAGCUUGUUGGUGGGGUAGUGGCUUACCAAGGCUUUGACGGGUAGCCGGCCUGAGAGGGUGACCGGCGACAUUGGGACUGAGAUACGGCCCAGACUCCUACGGGAGGCAGCAGUGGGGAAUAUUGCACAAUGGGCGGAAGCCUGAUGCAGCAACGCCGCGUGCGGGAUGACGGCCUUCGGGUUGUAAACCGCUUUCGCCUGUGACGAAGCGUGAGUGACGGUAAUGGGUAAAGAAGCACCGGCUAACUACGUG